UACGUAGGGGGCAAGCGUUGUCCGGAUUUAUUGGGCGUAAAGAGCGUGUAGGCGGCCAGACAGGUCUGCUGUGAAAACUCGAGGCUCAACCUCGAGACGCCGGUGGAAACCGUCUGGCUAGAGUCCGGAAGAGGAGAGUGGAAUUCCUGGUGUAGCGGUGAAAUGCGCAGAUAUCAGGAAGAACACCCGUGGCUAAGGCGGCUCUCUAGUACGGUACUGACGCUGAGACGCGAAAAGCGUGGGGAGCGAACAGG
rnacentral:rRNA from 1 species